rnacentral:rRNA from 1 species
GAGUGGCGACCGGCGCACGGGUGAGUAACACGUAUCCAACCUGCCGCUUACUCGGGGAUAGCCUUUCGAAAGAAAGAUUAAUACCCGAUGGUAUAAAGAGUUCGCAUGUUCUCUUUAUUAAAGAAUUUCGGUAAGCGAUGGGGAUGCGUUCCAUUAGAUUGUUGGCGGGUAACGGCCCACCAAGUCUACGAUGGAUAGGGGUUCUGAGAGGAAGGUCCCCCACAUUGGAACUGAGACACGGUCCAAACUCCUACGGGAGGCAGCAGUGAGGAAUAUUGGUCAAUGGACGAGAGUCUGAACCAGCCAAGUAGCGUGAAGGAUGACUGCCCUAUGGGUUGUAAACUUCUUUUAUAAGGGAAUAAAGUGAGGGACGUGUCCCUUUUUGUAUGUACCUUAUGAAUAAGGAUCGGCUAACUCCGUGCCAGCAGCAGC